AAGAGGGCAGGACCUUCCACCUACUCCUCCGAUCACGAGACCUCCCUCCUACAAGGACGCUUUUGUUGAGUUGGGCCAGGGUGCUGAGAAAGGAACCGAAUUACAGAGAGUCCCAAACAUGUGGGGCUGAAAGAACAGUCUGCGGCUAAUUUAAUAAGCACUGGGUUCAUUUGUGCAACAAUCCUGCCUGUGGAAAAUGAGUUUCAAGGAUCCUGAGGUCUCACCAAGGGUUCCCACCAGCGUCGUGUGGUGGCUGAACCAUCUGCAGUCUUACAGAUGAGCAGCUCAGACACGGAGAGGCCAGGCAGCCUUCAAAAGGUCACACAGAGGUGACUCACAUGUGAGGAAACUCCAUCAUCAAAAUGUGGAAGUGGCAGGUGGAGGUGGUCAAUGUCGCAUACAAAGGAAAUGGAGUCAGACACCCAUGGAAUCACUCCAGGCUGACCCCACGCUAAUUACUGGGGUUCACAGUCCUAGGAAUUGCAAAGGAGGGAAACAGACAUCUGCACAGAGCCUUGGUGCCUGGAUUCACCCAAGAAUCUCCACAUCCACGUAAGCAUCAGGUAAGCCCUUCACUCCCGCCGCCUUAAUGCAGUAGAGAAGGACAAGGCUGGACUGGGGAUUUUAUGUGCAUUACUGAAUUCCUUCAUGCCUUUCUUUUGAAUCAGAUUUUGUGAUUUCCACUGUAGUGCUAUGACCUCGAGGCUCACACCUCUGAAGAAGUGGCCAGGAUUUUCUGGCACCAAAGACCGCUGUGGGCUCUUGCCUCAAGUUAUCCAGCAGAUCCUCAGAGGUGUGAACUUCCUUCAGUAAGGUAUGAUAAGGGGUCCUGGGAGGCGUGCGGAAGUCUCAGACAACAGUGAAACCAGUAAGGUCUGCAUUUGAGUCCUUGUAGCAAUCUCCACUUCUGACACCAGUGACAAGUGCCUUUCCCAGCCUUUCUGAAUAAGAUGCACCAUCACACUAAUCAAAAAAAGCUGCAAUAGUUAUAUUAAUUAUCACAAGGUAGAUUUCAGAAUGAAGAAUAUUGUUAGAGAUAAACAGGGACAUUACUUAAUGUAAUGUAAAGAGGUCAGUUCACUAAGAAGGUAUGUAUGUUAAAGCUCUCUU
ensembl:lncRNA